CACGCCGUAAACGAUGACUACUAGGUGUCGGGUAGCAAAGCUAUUCGGUGCCGCAGCAAACGCAAUAAGUAGUCCACCUGGGGAGUACGUUCGCAAGAAUGAAACUCAAAGGAAUUGACG
rnacentral:rRNA from 1 species